rnacentral:rRNA from 1 species
UACGUAGGUGGCAAGCGUUGUCCGGAUUUAUUGGGUUUAAAGGGUGCGUAGGCGGCUUUGUAAGUCAGUGGUGAAAUAUGGCAGCUCAACUGUCAGGGUGCCAUUGAUACUGCGGAGCUUGAGUACAGAUGAGGUAGGCGGAAUUGACGGUGUAGCGGUGAAAUUCGUAGAUAUUCGCAAGAACACCAGUGGCGAAGGCGGCUCACUGGCCCGGUACUGACGCUGAGGCACGAAAGCGUGGGGAGCAAACAGG